rnacentral:ncRNA from 1 species
UUACGGACUUAAUUGGAUUGAGCCUUGGUAUGGAAACUUACUAAGUGAUAACUUUCAAAUUCAGAGAAACCCCGGAAAAAAAAGGGCAAUCCUGAGCCAAAUUCUAUUUUUCGAAAACAAACAAAAAAACAAACAAAGGUUCAUAAAGACAGAAUAAGAAUACAAAAGGAUAUGUGCAGAGACUCAAUGGAAGUUGUUCUAACAAAUAGAGUUGACUGCGUUGCAUUAGUCAAGUAAAGGAAUCCUUCUGUUAAAGUUAAAAUUCCAG